GCCGACGUGGCGGAACUGGAAUACGCGCAUGCCUUAGGAGCAUGUUCCGAAAGGAUUGUGGGUUCGACUCCCACCGUCGGCA
rnacentral:tRNA from 1 species